rnacentral:rRNA from 1 species
GUGGGGAAUCUUGGACAAUGGGCGAAAGCCUGAUCCAGCGACGCCGCGUGACCGAUGAAGCCCCUCGGGGUGUAAAGGUCUUUCAGCGGGGAAAAUAAUGAUGGUACCCGCAGAAGCAGCUGCGGCUAACUACGUGCCAGCAGCCGCGGUAAUACGUAGGCAGCAAGCGUUGUUCGGAAUUACUGGGCGUAAAGCGAGUGUAGGCGGUUCGCCAAGUCCGUUGUGAAAUCUCCCGGCUCAACUGGGAGGGUGCGGCGGAAACUGGCAAGCUAGAGUGCGGAAGAGGAAAGUGGAAUUCCUGGUGUAGCGGUGAAAUGCGUAGAUAUCAGGAGGAACACCGGUGGUGAAGACGGCUUUCUGGUCCGCCACUGACGC